CAACUUCCACCUGGCUUACCUCCUCAGUUAUGCGUAAAGGCUUGUAUCGCCCGGAGCGUAUUGUGGGUUUCCUGUGUUGCAUACCUAAUUGACGGUAUUGUUUUGAUUGAUUGAAGUCCCUUUUCAUCAUGUGUUGCAUUUGUGAUGCAUGAUGAACCCUGAAGCGGUCUCUAUGAUCCAUCCUGUUGAUGUACAUGCAUUGAUGGUUUGGCCCAUUGAGCUUUGCUUGGUCUCUUGGAUACGGAAUAUGAUGUGGGCAUAGGGGUCUAUCAUGAUCCUUGUUUUGCCCUCGUUCAGUGUUCUCUAGAACGACAGUUCAUGCGCGCCUAGGCUCGUACCUGCGUGAUGUUCUAUGUCAAAGAGGAAUGCUACCUGGUUGAUCCUGCCAGUA
rnacentral:misc_RNA from 1 species